GAGACAAUGUCAAGCAAGCAAAUAGGGGCGGCCUCAGUUCCUCAACCAAUCGCUCAGCAGUGCUGGGGUGUCUGGCAUCUGGAGGAUUCCUGAGGUGAAGGGGUCUAUAUAAAGAUCCUGGUGACUUGUCAUGUUGGUUCAUUUCCCUGCAGUAGCAUCUAUGCUUCAUAAUAUGCAGGAAGCAGUCAACCUACUUAACAGGGAUUGUUGACUCCAAGGAAAGGCUACAUGCAAAAAAGGUGAUUUUGGUCUUUCCAAAUUUUGUACAACUAUACUGAGACCAUGAGCAGUGUGAACUCUGCUGCUUGUCUGCUGGCAAGGAAUCACUUUUACCAGAAUAUCAGUCCUACCAACAAAUUACAGCCUGCGUACACGUUCCCUGGUAGUCUGUCACAAGCAAGACAAAGGCAAGAGACUGUCUGGAAAACUGCCUCCUCACACCGAGGUUUUUCAGAACAGGAGCAAAGACGAUGGGUAUUAAGUUUGGUUUGGAAAACUCCAUUAUCCAGACUCAGCUCAUCCAAAAGGAUAAAAUCUGAUGAUCAUGUGAUCAAAUAAAACAUCUGAACAAGAACUUGCCUAGAGACGACACGUAACAUUCCCAGAGCCAAAUCAUUUCCUUUUCCCUUUUGAAACCAUACAUGUUGGGUUUAAAGACUAGGUUUAAAGACCUGCUGAUCUCCCUGUUUCCUAGCAGCUCUUUCCAUGUGGAAAUAUUACACCAUUUCACUUAUCCAGGAUGAUACAAUAAUGUUAAAUAGUUCUGCAGAAAAAAAAGAAUGGACCUGCAGUUGUUUUGUGGCAUGAUGCAUUCCCCUAAUAAUUUCCCCCAACAUGCUAAAGAACAUCUCUUGUCUUCUCCUUAACCCUUAUUGUAGGGAUUCCUCAGUGUCCAGUCAGAGCUUUGUCUGCUCUCACUCACAGACCUGUUGCCAAGCACAGCAGAAGAGGGACUGAAAGAAAAGGAUAGAGUCAGCGCACUAGACAAAGCCCUUUCCAUGAACACCAAAAUCACAGAGCUCAGUGACCCAGAAAAUACGCACACAUUAGAGAUAAGAAAAAAAACAAAAAACGUUUUGGGAGCCAUGUUCAAUACCCUAUAAAUGGAUAAAUGGUGAGGUAGAGUUCCAGCUGUAAAAGCUUUAUGUGAAAUGAACUCAGACCUUUUCCAUGUCAUAAUUAUAUCACAGUGAGGAUCAGCAUUUGUGGACUUCCUGCUCAUUCAAUUGAAUCACCCUUUAGACUUGUUUGCUUUUCCAAAAGCUUCACUCCCGUUUGUGCCGAGCGUGCAAUGUGAUUGGAAAGCAAGUUUCCACAAUGGAAUGUACACAGAAGACCCUCAAGCUGAAUUAACAAGUUACGUAACUUCUCCAGACCAGCUCUACAAGCAUGGCAAGAAAAAAGGAUGACUGUCCUUCAGACUCUAAAGCAACAUGUUGAAGGGUUAUUACUAAGUUUACUGGAAUGAUAUGUGAAAAACAGUUAACAAGCCAGAAUAGGCUUAUACUUCAGGAAUAAACGAAUAAUAAACAUGAUACAAGUAUUACUGCA